UACGUAGGGGGCAAGCGUUGUCCGGAAUCACUGGGCGUAAAGCGCACGUAGGCGGGUCUUUAAGUCGGGGGUGAAAUCCUGGAGCUCAACUCCAGAACUGCCUUCGAUACUGAGGAUCUCGAGUCCGGGAGAGGUGAGUGGAACUCCGAGUGUAGAGGUGAAAUGCGCAGAUAUCAGGAAGAACACCCGUGGCGAAGGCGGUUCUCUGGGACGGUACUGACGCUGAGACGCGAAAGCGUGGGGAGCGAACAGG
rnacentral:rRNA from 1 species